rnacentral:rRNA from 1 species
UUCGGGACGCCGGCGAGUGGCGAACGGGUGAGUAACACGUGGGGACCUGCCCUGAGGUGGGGGAUAACAGCUAGAAAUGGCUGCUAAUACCGCAUACGCCUUACGAGGGAAAGAUUUAUUGCCUCAGGAGGGUUCCGCGUCGGAUUAGCUUGUUGGUGGGGUAACGGCCUACCAAGGCGAUGAUCCGUAGCUGGUCUUAGAGGAUGAUCAGCCACACUGGGACUGAGACACGGCCCAGACUCCUACGGGAGGCAGCAGUGGGGAAUAUUGCGCAAUGGAGGCAACUCUGACGCAGCGAUGCCGCGUGGGUGAAUAAGGCCUUAGGGUUGUAAAGCCCUUUCAGUGGGAAAGAUGAUGACGGUACCCACAGAAGAAGCCCCGGCUAACUCCGUGCCAGCAGCCGCGGUAAUACGGAGGGGGCGAGCGUUGUUCGGAAUUAUUGGGCGUAAAGAGCGCGUAGGCGGUUUAUUAAG